AUUUUCUCACCAUAAAGCAUGAAAAAUGAAAUGUUAAUAAGUAAAUUUCUAAAUUUUAGCUUCAACUGCUGCAAUAUAAUUUUCCUGUUACAUCAACAAGGAUCAACAAGUUUCCAUUAGAAUAAAGAUAAAUAUAUUCACAUCUGUGCACAUGUUUAUUGAGA